rnacentral:lncRNA from 1 species
AUUCCACAGGUUGAUCUUUGCAACUAUGUUUCCGUCAAUGGUGCCACUGCUCAUCCACAUAUUGAAAGUGAUGGAACAGUUUAUAACAUUGGCAAUUGCUUUGGGAAAAAUUUUACAGUUGCCUACAACAUUAUUAAGAUCCCUCCACUGAAAGCAGGUGACUAAUGUCCAGAAGCAGGACAGUAAACAAAGAUGGCUUCAAAAUCCAGAAAGCAAGAAGCCAAGUUCUUUUCUACAAUGUUUCAAGAUCUAGUGCAUAUGUGUAUUUAAAUAUUAAUUUAAUUAUAUCAAAUAUAAAUUUGAUAAAUUU